AAAAAAAAGAAAAGAACAAAAUCAUGAAAAAUGAACAACCAACAAAAUUGAAGAAACAAAAGCGAGACAUAUUGUUUCUUGGAUUUGGUUUGUCGUUUCUUUUCAUGUUUU
rnacentral:ribozyme from 1 species